rnacentral:rRNA from 1 species
GAUGAACGCUGGCGGCGUGCCUAAUACAUGCAAGUCGAGCGAACGGACUAGAAGCUUGCUUCUCUGAUGUUAGCGGCGGACGGGUGAGUAACACGUGGAUAACCUACCUAUAAGACUGGGAUAACUUCGGGAAACCGUAGCUAAUACCGGAUAAUAUUUUGAACCGCAUGGUUCAAAAGUGAAAGACGGUCUUGCUGUCACUUAUAGAUGGAUCCGCGCUGCAUUAGCUAGUUGGUAAGGUAACGGCUUACCAAGGCAACGAUGCAUAGCCGACCUGAGAGGGUGAUCGGCCACACUGGAACUGAGACACGGUCCAGACUCCUACGGGAGGCAGCAGUAGGGAAUCUUCCGCAAUGGGCGAAAGCCUGACGGAGCAACGCCGCGUGAGUGGUGAAGGUCUUCGGAUCGUAAAACUCUGUUAUUAGGGAAGAACAUAUGUGUAAGUAACUGUGCACAUCUUGACGGUACCUAAUCAGAAAGCCACGGCUAACUACGUG